UCGAGCGAGCGGAACUAACAGAUUUACUUCGGUAAUGACGUUAGGAAAGCGAGCGGCGGAUGGGUGAGUAACACGUGGGGAACCUGCCCCAUAGUCUGGGAUACCACUUGGAAACAGGUGCUAAUACCGGAUAAGAAAGCAGAUCGCAUGAUCAGCUUUUAAAAGGCGGCGUAAGCUGUCGCUAUGGGAUGGCCCCGCGGUGCAUUAGCUAGUUGGUAAGGUAAAGGCUUACCAAGGCGAUGAUGCAUAGCCGAGUUGAGAGACUGAUCGGCCACAUUGGGACUGAGACACGGCCCAAACUCCUACGGGAGGCAGCAGUAGGGAAUCUUCCACAAUGGACGCAAGUCUGAUGGAGCAACGCCGCGUGAGUGAAGAAGGUUUUCGGAUCGUAAAGCUCUGUUGUUGGUGAAGAAGGAUAGAGGUAGUAACUGGCCUUUAUUUGACGGUAAUCAACCAGAAAGUCACGGCUAACUACGUGCCAGCAGCCGCGGUAAUACGUAGGUGGCAAGCGUUGUCCGGAUUUAUUGGGCGUAAAGCGAGCGCAGGCGGAAGAAUAAGUCUGAUGUGAAAGCCCUCGGCUUAACCGAGGAACUGCAUCGGAAACUGUUUUUCUUGAGUGCAGAAGAGGAGAGUGGAACUCCAUGUGUAGCGGUGGAAUGCGUAGAUAUAUGGAAGAACACCAGUGGCGAAGGCGGCUCUCUGGUCUGCAACUGACGCUGAGGCUCGAAAGCAUGGGUAGUGAACAGGAUUAGAUACCCUGGUAGUCCAUGCCGUANACGAUGAGUGCUAAGUGUUGGGAGGUUUCCGCCUCUCAGUGCUGCAGCUAACGCAUUAAGCACUCCGCCUG
rnacentral:rRNA from 1 species